AGCUUUAGUAGUUUAAUGGUUAAAACUCAGAUUUCAUAUGUCUGUAAUAGAAGUUCGAUUCUUCUCUAACGCUG
rnacentral:tRNA from 1 species